rnacentral:rRNA from 1 species
ACGCACGCUGGCGGCGUGCCUCACACAUGCCAGUCGAACGGAAAGGCCCUGCUUUUGUGGGGUGCUCGAGUGGCGAACGGGUGAGUAACACGUGAGUAACCUGCCCUUGACUUUGGGAUAACUUCAGGAAACUGGGGCUAAUACCGGAUAGGAGCUCCUGCUGCAUGGUGGGGGUUGGAAAGUUUCGGCGGUUGGGGAUGGACUCGCGGCUUAUCAGCUUGUUGGUGGGGUAGUGGCUUACCAAGGCUUUGACGGGUAGCCGGCCUGAGAGGGUGACCGGCCACAUUGGGACUGAGAUACGGCCCAGACUCCUACGGGAGGCAGCAGUGGGGAAUAUUGCACAAUGGGCGGAAGCCUGAUGCAGCAACGCCGCGUGCGGGAUGACGGCCUUCGGGUUGUAAACCGCUUUCGCCUGUGACGAAGCGUGAGUGACGGUAAUGGGUAAAGAAGCACCGGCUAACUACGU